UAGGGAAUCUUCCGCAAUGGACGCAAGUCUGACGGAGCAACGCCGCGUGAGUGAAGAAGGAUUUCGGUUCGUAAAACUCUGUUGUUAGAGAAGAACAGCGCAUAGAGUAACUGUUAUGCGUGUGACGGUAUCUAACCAGAAAGCCACGGCUAACUACGUGCCAGCAGCCGCGGUAAUACGUAGGUGGCAAGCGUUGUCCGGAUUUAUUGGGCGUAAAGCGAGCGCAGGCGGUCAAUUAAGUCUGAUGUGAAAGCCCCCGGCUCAACCGGGGAGGGUCAUUGGAAACUGGUUGACUUGAGUGCAGAAGAGGAGAGUGGAAUUCCAUGUGUAGCGGUGAAAUGCGUAGAUAUAUGGAGGAACACCAGUGGCGAAGGCGACUUACUGGGCCAUAACUGACGCUGAGGCGCGAAAGCGUGGGGAGCAAACAGG
rnacentral:rRNA from 1 species